GACGAACGCUGGCGGCGUGCUUAACACAUGCAAGUCGAACGGAAAGGCCCUGCUUUUGUGGGGUGCUCGAGUGGCGAACGGGUGAGUAACACGUUAGUAACCUGCCCUUUACUUUUGGAUAACUUCAGGAAACUGGGGCUAAUACCGGAUAGGAGCUCCUGCUGCAUGGUGUGGGUUGUAAAGUUUCGGCGGUUGGGGAUGGACUCGCGGCUUAUCAGCUUGUUGGUGGGGUAGUGGCUUACCAAGGCUUUGACGGGUAGCCGGACUGAGAGGGUGACCGGCCACAUAGGGACUGAGAUACGGCCCAGACUCCUACGGGAGGCAGCAGUGGGGAAUAUUGAACAAGGGGCGGAAGCCUGAUGCAGCAACGCCGCGUGCGGGAUGACGGCCUUAGGGGUGUAAACCGCUUUCGCCUGUGACGAAGCGUGAGUGACGGUAAUGGGUAAAGAAGCACCGGCUAACUACGUG
rnacentral:rRNA from 1 species